rnacentral:rRNA from 1 species
UACGGAGGGUGCAAGCGUUAUCCGGAUUUAUUGGGUUUAAAGGGUGCGUAGGUGGGUUAAUAAGUCAGUGGUGAAAUACGGUUGCUCAACAAUCGAGGUGCCAUUGAUACUGUUAAUCUUGAAACAAGUGGAGGUUGCCGGAAUGGAUGGUGUAGCGGUGAAAUGCAUAGAUAUCAUCCAGAACACCGAUUGCGAAGGCAGGUGACUACGUUUGAUUUGACACUGAGGCACGAAAGCAUGGGGAGCAAACAGG